AAAUAAGAAAUAAUUAUUAUAUUUAAUUUCGACUUAAAAAUUGGCUAUCUUGCCCUUAUUUU
rnacentral:tRNA from 1 species